UUCCGGUUGAUCCCGCCGGAGGCCAUUGCUAUUGGGAUUCGAUUUAGCCAUGCUAGUCGCACGAGUUCAGACUCGUGGCGAAUAGCUCAGUAACACGUGGCCAAACUACCCUUCGGAACACGAUACCCUCGGGAAACUGAGGCUAAUAGUGUAUACCACAGUCCACCUGGAAUGAGGACUGUGUCAAACGCUCCGGCGCCGAAGGAUGUGGCUGCGGCCGAUUAGGUAGACGGUGGGGUAACGGCCCACCGUGCCAAUAAUCGGUACGGGUCAUGAGAGUGAGAACCCGGAGACGGAAUCUGAGACAAGAUUCCGGGCCCUACGGGGCGCAGCAGGCGCGAAACCUUUACACUGCACGACAGUGCGAUAAGGGGACCCCGAGUGCGUAGGCAUAGAGCCUACGCUUUUGUACACCGUAGGGAGGUGUACGAAUAAGAGCUGGGCAAGACCGGUGCCAGCCGCCGCGGUAAUACCGGCAGCUCGAGUGAUGGCCGAUUUUAUUGGGCCUAAAGCGUCCGUAGCUGGCCUGGCAAGUCCGUCGGGAAAUCUCCCCGCUCAACGGGGAGGCGUCCGGCGGAAACUGCAAGGCUUGGGACCGGAAGGCGUGACGGGUACGUCCGGGGUAGGAGUGAAAUCCUGUAAUCCUGGACGGACCGCCGAUGGGGAAACCACGUCACGAGGACGGAUCCGACAGUGAGGGACGAAAGCUAGGGUCUCGAACCGGAUUAGAUACCCGGGUAGUCCUAGCCGUAAACGAUGCCUGUUAGGUGUGACUCCCACUACGAGUGGGUGUUGUGCCGUAGGGAAGCCGCUAAACAGGCCGCCUGGGAAGUACGUCCGCAAGGAUGAAACUUAAAGGAAUUGGCGGGGGAGCAC
rnacentral:rRNA from 1 species